rnacentral:sRNA from 1 species
CAGAGUUUGCUGACUCAGGUUGCCUCAGAACACUUCUACUUCUGGCUAAAUAGUUUGAAGGAGUUUUCACAUGCAGAACAGUGUCUCACUGGGUUGCAAGAGGAAAAUUAUAGUUCAGCACUUUCUUGCAUUGCUGAAUCUUUAAAAUUCUAUCACAAAGGGAUUGCUUCCUUAACAGCAGCUAGUACACCACUGAAUCCUUUAAGCUUUCAGUGUGAAUUUGUAAAACUCAGGAUUGACCUUUUACAAGCCUUCUCUCAACUUAUCUGUACUUGUAAUAGCCUGAAGACAAGCCCACCACCUGCAAUUGCCACAACAAUUGCCAUGACCUUAGGAAAUGACCUCCAGAGGUGUGGUCGCAUCUCCAAUCAGAUGAAACAGUCCAUGGAAGAAUUUCGAAGCCUUGCUUCUCGAUAUGGAGAUCUUUACCAGGCAUCUUUUGAUGCUGACUCAGCAACUUUGAGGAAUGUUGAACUACAGCAGCAGAGCUGUUUACUGAUAUCUCAUGCAAUAGAAGCCCUGAUUUUGGAUCCAGAAUCAGCAAGUUUCCAGGAAUAUGGAUCUACUGGAACAGCCCAUGCUGAUAGUGAAUAUGAAAGAAGAAUGAUGUCUGUAUAUAAUCAUGUCUUGGAGGAGGUAGAAUCACUCAAUCGGAAAUAUACCCCCGUUUCUUAUAUGGCAAGUGGCAUUUGUUUUAUUGAGCUUUUAUUGUAUGGAUGUGGGUUUUUCAUACAUUUAUGGCACUUACUGUGUGAGUUCAACAAGUUAACCUUUCUGUGCCUGUUUCCUUAUCCAUAAAACAGGGUUAAUACCUACCUCA